UCAUAAAUAUUUGGCGAAUGAAUGAGCCAUCCUCCUGCCCUGGCCUCCUGAGUUGCCGGGAUUACAGGACUGUGCCAUCUCGGUCACAAACCUGCGAAGGUUUGGCUUUGAAACAAAAGCCCAUGUGGAAAUCUGCUCCCUCUGACUUAGACCACUGGUUUGAGCCUGCUUUUGUCCCACAAGGAAGAUUCGCUGCACGAACGGAUGCCAUAAAUACAAAGCUCUUCAAGUGUGCCCUUCUUUUCUCAGCCCAUUGUGACACAGACUGAUGGUUGUUGGCCUCAAGUUCUCGGUCUUCCCUUCCAGGCUUUCUGGAAACACCACACCUGUCCACACAGAACAUUAACAAGAAGAAUGCUGGCUGCCCCAUGCAGGAUGGAAGAAGGCUGGGGUUCAUGCCAGCUUUCCAGUGCUCCCCACAAACAACAUGAAACUUGGACUGGCUUUGAAAGCCGCCUGGCUAGCGGUGCACCUGCAUGCCUACUUCCCAGCUGAGCCGAGGGGUUGAUGGUCCUGCUGGUCUCCAUGUGCCUGCUCUACUUCACCACCUCUGCAUGCAUAGCAGGUGAUAUCUCUGCAGUGCUGCCCCCAUCCUGAGUCCCCUGCUCUAAGUGCAACCCAGUGCCCAGCCUUGGGAACAUGAGUUGGAGAAAACUGGAAAGUUGCUUGGGCAGCUCUACCUCGCCCUGUGGGUAGAGUUCAUGACAAACAUGGUCAUUGAUGCCCAAGCUUUGCUUCUAGGUAGGGUAGGAUGAACAGAGAUGACAGCUAGUUUUGGUUUCCUUUUCAUGUGUAGGAAACAGGGACGAACAUUCCUUUGGAACCACGUGUCAUUUUGUAGCCUCCUUCUGUAGUUACAAGAAAGCCUUGUGUUUUUUGUAUAUGGCUUUGUUGUGUAACUGGGAUGGGGAGGGGUGAUUUCCUUCUUCACUGAUUCCCUGGGAUGUGGGGAAGGAUAGAAGAGAGACCCCCCUCAGAGGAAAGGGAAGAGAAAUUAGAACUACACUCACAAUACCACAUCCAGGUUCAUAGAAGGGGAUUAAAAAUGUGAGUGAUGCUCAUGAGCUCACCUGUUGGAACAACCCAGCAUGUGUCUCCCUUUUCCUGACUUUUGAUUCCACAUAAAUACUUUUCAAUUCUGCAACAUGGUUUAAGCUAACAGCAAACAAACUGUCAAUCCUAUUCCUUGGCACCUUUGCCCUCAAAUUGGAUAGAAUGGGUAUGUAUGUCCUCCCAAGGACAUACCUCAUUCCAAGGACAACAUGCUAAAGAGAAGCAGUGCUUUGAUAACAGGACAGAGCUAGAAGCAGGCUUCAGGCUCCACGUCCUGACCCAGGCAGGGCAGGCCUGAGUGUUGUCAUAGCCAUCUGUUGCAGCCUGUAAUGCAUGAGCACAUUAGCACAUGGCUCGCCAGCAGCCUCAACAUUGUUCUCCUGGCUCAGCACAGCCACUCAACAAAGGGACAGUUUUGCAAUUGGGAUAAAUACAACCACUGAGGACUUUUUUUUUGUUUAUUUUAGGAUACUUUAUGUUAAGGUUUAUACUUGCUGUUUGAAUUGGACAUUUGUGGCCACCCUCCUACCUACUUCAAUAUUGUUCUUAUUCUGUUUGUGAUGUUGACACGGAUGGUUUGUGGGAGCCACUAAUUUGCCAGGAGACAUCUUUCCUCUUUCAGAUAUGAUCCUCAUCAGAAAGAUUUAUCCAACUGAACAUUUGUCUCUUCAUUUUCUUAAUCUCAAUCCUUUUGCUUCCCAAAAGAUCAGAACAAAUUGUCCAACUAGGAAGCCAUGUCACCUUAAGGUCAGUGUCACAUCCCAAGGUCUACAUCCUUUCUGUGCCCAAAGCCUACCCAGCAGAUGUGGGGGGGAGGCAGCUUUUGUUCCCCAGGGAGAACAUCAUAACUUAAGCUUUAGUAAAUUUGUUGAUCCCUAACAGAAUAUUUCAAAAAAUUCCUUCUUUGCUCCCAGGACCAUUACAAGACCAGCCUCCAAGACUCAGGAGAUUUAAAAAACAGUCUUGGCAGAGAGAACAUAGUUGGAUGAUGCACUUUUCAUGGGAUAAAAUUUUGCCUGAUUUCCUCAUGUAGGAGUUCCAGUGAAGCUUUAUGCCUUCUCUGUUCUUGCUCAGAAGCAAAAACCAUCUGUAUACACCCAUUUAUUCAUUCAAUUAAUAUUUAUUGGGCACCAACUAUGUGCUUGACUCUUCUACAUCACUAAUCAAGAUGGGCAAAGAUCUCUGCCUAAUAGAGCUUAAGUUCUAGUGGGGAAGAGAGUAAUAGUAAUAGGAGUAGUAGUGAUAAUAAUAAUAACAAUAUAAUAAUAAUAAUAUGUCAUAGAAACAAGAAAAGUAGAACAGGGAGGGGAAUGAAAAAUCUCAGGCUAAGUUUGGAGUAUUGAAAAGGAAGACAUGGGGGCUGGGGAUGUGGCUCAAGUGGUAGCGCGCUCGCCUGGCAUGCGUGCAGCCCGGGUUCGAUCCUCAGCACCACAUACAAACAAAGAUGUUGUGUCCACCGAAAAAUAAAUAAAUAAAUAUUUAAAAAAAAAAAAAAAAAAAGAAAAGGAAGACAUGGCUGGGCACAUUGGCACACACUCCCAGCAGCUCUGGAGGCUGAGGCAGGAGAAUUGCAAAUUCAAAGCCAGCCUCAGCAACUAAGGCUCUAAGCAGCUCAGUGAGACCCUGUCUCUAAACAAAAUACAAAAUAUGGCUGGGGAUGUGGCUCAGUGGUCAAGUGCUUCUGAGUUCAGUCUCCAGUUUUAAAAAAAAAAAAAACAUGAAAAAGGAGAAGCGGCAGUUAUGAUCUCAAUUGACUGAGCUUUGUAUUCCAAGAAGAAAUGUUAUCCCUCAAGAUAAUGGGUGCCUUCCCUAUGUUAAAGUUCCCUUCCCAAGUUCAAUUUCAAGUGGAAAAGUUCACUUCAUUGGCUCCUUUCAAUCAGGGUAACUCUUAAAUGCUAAGAAAGAGCAAGUUUCUUAGGUGUGUUUCUUGUGUCCAAAGCUGAGCUCAGAAUAGGCCUGUAUAUUUGCCAUUAAGGAGUCUCUUGCCACCUCCUAUUAAGUGUGUGUUGAAUAAAGUUCUGAGAAGAUGAAUUAUAGAAAUCAGGAUAUCUGUUUCUGCACCACUUACUGUCCCUUGGAUUUAUGUCAAGUCUUCAUGAUCAAGUUUAAAUUUUAAUGUCCACUUCUCAAAAUGUGACUUGGGCUAAGGGUACGGGUCAGUAAUAGAACACUUGCCUAGCAUGUGCAAGGCCCUGUGUAUGA